CCCUUAGAUGUUCUGGGCCGCACACGCGCUACACUGAAGGAGGCAGCGUGUACUCCUGGAUCGAAAGAUUUGGGUAACCCGCGAAUCUCCUUCGUGCUAGGGAUUGAGGUUUGCAAUUAUCCUUCAUGAACGAGGAAUUCCCAGUAAGUGCAAGUCAUAAGCUUGUGCUGACUACGUCCCUGCCCUUUGUACACACCGCCCGUCGCUACUACCGAUUGAAUGAUUUAGUGAGGACUUCGGACUGGGACCGAUGCGGCUUUCGGGCUGCGUCGGUAUUCUGGAAAGAUGUCCAAACUGUAUCAUUUAGAGGAAGUAAAANUCGUANCA
rnacentral:rRNA from 1 species